GGGGUAGAGUUCUUCGGAACUUGAGACCGGCGCACGGGUGCGUAACGCGUAUGCAAUCUACCUUAUACAGGGGAAUAGCCCAGAGAAAUUUGGAUUAAUGCCCCAUAGUGUUAUAGAAUCGCAUGGUUUUAUAACUAAAGUUCCAACGGUAUAAGAUGAGCAUGCGUCCCAUUAGUUAGUUGGUAAGGUAACGGCUUACCAAGACAAUGAUGGGUAGGGGUCCUGAGAGGGAGAUCCCCCACACUGGUACUGAGACACGGACCAGACUCCUACGGGAGGCAGCAGUGAGGAAUAUUGGUCAAUGGGCGCAAGCCUGAACCAGCCAUGCCGCGUGCAGGAAGACGGUCCUAUGGAUUGUAAACUGCUUUUAUACAGGAAGAAACCUCCCUACGUGUAGGGACUUGACGGUACUGUAGGAAUAAGGAUCGGCUAACUCCGUGCCAGCAGCCGCGGUAAUACGGAGGAUCCAAGCGUUAUCCGGAAUCAUUGGGUUUAAAGGGUCCGUAGGCGGCCUUAUAAGUCAGUGGUGAAAUCUCCUAGCUCAACUAGGAAACUGCCAUUGAUACUGUAGGGCUUGAAUUUUUGUGAAGUAACUAGAAUAUGUAGUGUAGCGGUGAAAUGCUUAGAUAUUACAUGGAAUACCAAUUGCGAAGGCAGGUUACUAACAAACGAUUGACGCUGAUGGACGAAAGCGUGGGGAGCGAACAGGAUUAGAUACCCUGGUAGUCCACGCCGUAAACGAUGGAUACUAGCUGUUCGGAGCAAUCUGAGUGGCUAAGCGAAAGUGAUAAGUAUCCCACCUG
rnacentral:rRNA from 1 species